GAUAAACGCUGGCGGCGUGCCUAACACAUGCAAGUCGAACGAUCCCGCAAGGGAGAGUGGCGGAAGGGUGAGUAACACGUGGGAAUCUACCUCCUCGCAGGGAACAACCUCUCGAAAGAGAGGCUAAUACCCAAAAGGGUCAGAAAUGAUCAGAGUCGAAAGGCGUGAGGAGAGGAGCCCGCGGCCCAUCAGCUAGUUGGUGAGGUAAUGGCUUACCAAGGCUACGACAGGUAGGGGAUCUGAGAGGAUGUCCCCCACACUGGAACUGAAACACGGUCCAGACGCCUACGGGUGGCAGCAGUGAGGAAUAUUGGACAAUGGGCGAAAGCCCGAUCCAGCAACGCCGCGUGGAGGAUGAAGGCCUUCGGGUACGUAAACUUCUUUAGGAGGGAGACGAGAAAGGACGGUAUCCCUAGAAUAAGCGACGGCAAACUACGU
rnacentral:rRNA from 1 species